UUACUUACCUAGCAGGGGAGAUACUGUGAUCCCAAAGGUGGUUUUCCCAGAGUAAGGCUCACCUAUUGCACGCUGGGUGUGCUGGCCCUUGUGAUUUUCCCAAAUGCAAGAAACUUGACUACGUAAUUUGUGGUUAUGGGCUGGGGGGGUGCGGGGUGGACUGUGUUUGUGCUUUCCCUGU
ensembl:snRNA U1 U1 spliceosomal RNA